ACCGGCGCACGGGUGCGUAACGCGUAUGAAACCUGCCUUAUACUGGGGGAUAGCCCGAAGAAAUUCGGAUUAAUACCCCAUAACAAUAAGUUAUCGCAUGGUAAUUUAUUUAAAACUCCGGUGGUAUAAGAUGGUCAUGCGUGACAUUAGCUAGUUGGUGAGGUAACGGCUCACCAAGGCGACGAUGUCUAGGGGUUCUGAGAGGAAGGUCCCCCACACUGGUACUGAGACACGGACCAGACUCCUACGGGAGGCAGCAGUGAGGAAUAUUGGUCAAUGGGCGAAAGCCUGAACCAGCCAUGUCGCGUGCAGGAUGACUGCCCUAUGGGUUGUAAACUGCUUUUAUAUGGGAAGAAAUGCGAGUACGUGUACUUGGUUGCCGGUACCAUAUGAAUAAGCAUCGGCUAACUCCGUGCCAGCAGCCGCGGUAAUACGGAGGAUGCGAGCGUUAUCCGGAUUCAUUGGGUUUAAAGGGUGCGUAGGCGGAAGUGUAAGUCAGGGGUGAAAGUUUGCAGCUCAACUGUAAAAUUGCCUUUGAUACUGCAUUU
rnacentral:rRNA from 1 species